UACGUAGGGUGCGAGCGUUGUCCGGAAUUAUUGGGCGUAAAGAGCUCGUAGGCGGUCUGUCGCGUCUGCUGUGAAAACCCGAGGCUCAACCUCGGGCCUGCAGUGGGUACGGGCAGACUAGAGUGCGGUAGGGGAGAAUGGAACUCCUGGUGUAGCGGUGGAAUGCGCAGAUAUCAGGAGGAACACCGGUGGCGAAGGCGGGUCUCUGGGCCGAUACUGACGCUGAGGAGCGAAAGCGUGGGGAGCGAACAGG
rnacentral:rRNA from 1 species